GCGGCGGUCGCCUAGCUUGGGAUGGCGCAGGCCUGCUAAGCCUGUGGCCCGAUGGGCCGCGCGGGUUCAAAUCCCGCCCGCCGCG
rnacentral:tRNA from 1 species